GAUGAACGCUGGCGGCGUGCCUAAUACAUGCAAGUCGAGCGAACGGACGAGAAGCUUGCUUCUCUGAUGUUAGCGGCGGACGGGUGAGUAACACGUGGAUAACCUACCUAUAAGACUGGGAUAACUUCGGGAAACCGGAUCUAAUACCGGAUGAUAUUUUGAACCGCAUGGUUCAAAAGUGAAAGACGGUCUUGCUGUCACUUAUAGAUGGAUCCGCGCUGCAUUAGCUAGUUGGUAAGGUAACGGCUUACCAAGGCAACGAUGCAUAGCCGACCUGAGAGGGUGAUCGGCCACACUGGAACUGAGACACGGUCCAGACUCCUACGGGAGGCAGCAGUAGGGAAUCUUCCGCAAUGGGCGAAAGCCUGACGGAGCAACGCCGCGUGAGUGAUGAAGGUCUUCGGAUCGUAAAACUCUGUUAUUAGGGAAGAACAUAUGUGUAAGUAACUGUGCACAUCUUGACGGUACCUAAUCAGAAAGCCACGGCUAACUACGUG
rnacentral:rRNA from 1 species